AAGCUGUGUUCAGGAAGUGAAUGAGAAACGAACCAAAAUCUGGUCAAAAUCAGGCGGGAAUGUCCGCAAAUCCGUCCGUAAAGUCUUCAGCAUUUUUCCCACCGACCAUGAACGUUCCACUGAAAUAGUCUCCUUCAGGAAGCAAACCCUCGGCCCUCACCAACACCAUCACCUCACACACUGGCAGCCUUGAUUUAUUCGUCCAGACGCUUGAUCGGCAUCUGAUGAACCUGCAGCCGAUGGCACAAAUGACCAUCGCACCUCUGUCACCAGUCAGUGGGUCCCUUUGUCAGGUCCAUGUCUGCGGUUAGUUCUCUUCCACCGCUCUUCUAAGCUAAGAAGUUGAAGCACUGCAAGUCAUGAGAUCCACUCUGAACUUUCAGUCAGCAUCGCAAGCUAAAAAUGACCGGGUGGGUAAGAUUUGGCCCCGGGGCCUCAAGUUUGACAAGCCUGUUUUAAAACUUUUUUUAACCUGAUAAAGCUGUGACAUUCAUCUUGUUAUGAAGUAGAUGGUGAGUUGUUUGUCCUGUGAUAUAUACAUAAGAUAUUUCUGUCAAUAAUAAACUGUAGAGCAGUAAAAACAUUCACAGAUGUACAUUAUGAUUUAAAUAUAUGAAGUGCAAUAAUGGAAUAUA